UACGGGGGGGGCAAGCGUUGUUCGGAAUUACUGGGCGUAAAGGGCGCGUAGGCGGCUCGCUAAGUCGGAUGUGAAAACUCUGGGCUCAACCCAGAGCCUGCAUUCGAAACUGACGAGCUCGAGUUCCGGAGGGGAAAGCGGAAUUCCUGGUGUAGCGGUGAAAUGCGUAGAUAUCAGGAGGAACACCGGUGGCGAAGGCGGCUUUCUGGACAGAAACUGACGCUGAUGCGCGAAAGCUAGGGGAGCAAACAGG
rnacentral:rRNA from 1 species